AGUGAACGCUGGCGGUAGGCCUAACACAUGCAAGUCGAACGGCAGCACAGUAAGAGCUUGCUCUUACGGGUGGCGAGUGGCGGACGGGUGAGGAAUACAUCGGAAUCUACUUUUUCGUGGGGGAUAACGUAGGGAAACUUACGCUAAUACCGCAUACGACCUACGGGUGAAAGCAGGGGAUCUUCGGACCUUGCGCGAUUGAAUGAGCCGAUGUCGGAUUAGCUAGUUGGGGGGGGAAAGGCCCACCAAGGCGACGAUCCGUAGCUGGUCUGAGAGGAUGAUCAGCCACACUGGAACGGAGAACCGGUCCAGACUCCUACGGGAGGCAGCAGUGGGGAAUAUUGGACAAUGGGCGCAAGCCUGAUCCAGCCAUACCGCGUGGGUGAAGAAGGCCUUCGGGUUGUAAAGCCCUUUUGUUGGGAAAGAAAAGCAGCAGGUUAAUACCCCGCUGUUCUGACGGUACCCAAAGAAUAAGCACCGGCUAACUUCGUG
rnacentral:rRNA from 1 species